GAUGAACGCUGGCGGCGUGCCUAAUACAUGCAAGUCGAGCGAACAGACGAGGAGCUUGCUCCUCUGACGUUAGCGGCGGACGGGUGAGUAACACGUGGAUAACCUACCUAUAAGACUGGGAUAACUUCGGGAAACCGGAGCUAAUACCGGAUAAUAUAUUGAACCGCAUGGUUCAAUAGUGAAAGACGGUUUUGCUGUCACUUAUAGAUGGAUCCGCGCCGCAUUAGCUAGUUGGUAAGGUAACGGCUUACCAAGGCAACGAUGCGUAGCCGACCUGAGAGGGUGAGCGGCCACACUGGAACUGAGACACGGUCCAGACUCCUACGGGAGGCAGCAGUAGGGAAUCUUCCGCAAUGGGCGAAAGCCUGACGGAGCAACGCCGCGUGAGGGAUGAAGGUCUUCGGAUCGUAAAACUCUGUUAUUAGGGAAGAACAAAUGUGUAAGUAACUAUGCACGUCUUGACGGUACCUAAUCAGAAAGCCACGGCUAACUACGUG
rnacentral:rRNA from 1 species